ACUAUUUGACGUUACCUACAGAAGAAGCACCGGCUAACUCCGUGCCAGCAGCCGCGGUAAUACGGAGGGUGCGAGCGUUAAUCGGAAUUACUGGGCGUAAAGCGCAUGCAGGCGGCCUGUUAAGUCAGAUGUGAAAGCCCGGGGCUUAACCUCGGAAUUGCAUUUGAAACUGGCAGGCUAGAGUCUUGUAGAGGGGGGUAGGAAUUUCAGGUGUAGCGGUGAAAUGCGUAGAGAUCUGAAGGAAUACCAGUGGCGAAGGCGGCCCCCUGGACAAAGACUGACGCUCAGAUGCGAAAGCGUGGGGAGCCAAACAGGAUUAGAUACCCCUGGUAG
rnacentral:rRNA from 1 species